rnacentral:rRNA from 1 species
AGCCCGCUCGCCGGAAGACCAAGGGUUCCUGUCCAACGUUAAUCGGGGCAGGGUGAGUCGACCCCUAAGGCGAGGCCGAAAGGCGUAGUCGAUGGGAAACAGGUUAAUAUUCCUGUACUUGGUGUUACUGCGAAGGGGGGACGGAGAAGGCUAUGUUGGCCGGGCGACGGUUGUCCCGGUUUAAGCGUGUAGGCUGGUUUUCCAGGCAAAUCCGGAAAACCAAGGCUGAGGCGUGAUGACGAGGCACUACGGUGCUGAAGCGACAAAUGCCCUGCUUCCAGGAAAAGCCUCUAAGCAUCAGGUAACAUCAAAUCGUACCCCAAACCGACACAGGUGGUCAGGUAGAGAAUACCAAGGCGCUUGAGAGAACUCGGGUGAAGGAACUAGGCAAAAUGGUGCCGUAACUUCGGGAGAAGGCACGCUGAUAUGUAGGUGAAGCGACUUGCUCGUGGAGCUGAAAUCAGUCGAAGAUACCAGCUGGCUGCAACUGUUUAUUAAAAACACAGCACUGUGCAAACACGAAAGUGGACGUAUACGGUGUGACGCCUGCCCGGUGCCGGAAGGUUAAUUGAUGGGGUUAGCGGUAACGCGAAGCUCUUGAUCGAAGCCCCGGUAAACGGCGGCCGUAACUAUAACGGUCCUAAGGUAGCGAAAUUCCUUGUCGGGUAAGUUCCGACCUGCACGAAUGGCGUAAUGAUGGCCAGGCUGUCUCCACCCGAGACUCAGUGAAAUUGAACUCGCUGUGAAGAUGCAGUGUACCCGCGGCAAGACGGAAAGACCCCGUGAACCUUUACUAUAGCUUGACACUGAACAUUGAGCCUUGAUGUGUAGGAUAGGUGGGAGGCUUUGAAGUGUGGACGCCAGUCUGCAUGGAGCCGACCUUGAAAUACCACCCUUUAAUGUUUGAUGUUCUAACGUUGGCCCGUAAUCCGGGUUGCGGACAGUGUCUGGUGGGUAGUUUGACUGGGGCGGUCUCCUCCUAAAGAGUAACGGAGGAGCACGAAGGUUGGCUAAUCCUGGUCGGACAUCAGGAGGUUAGUGCAAUGGCAUAAGCCAGCUUGACUGCGAGCGUGACGGCGCGAGCAGGUGCGAAAGCAGGUCAUAGUGAUCCGGUGGUUCUGAAUGGAAGGGCCAUCGCUCAACGGAUAAAAGGUACUCCGGGGAUAACAGGCUGAUACCGCCCAAGAGUUCAUAUCGACGGCGGUGUUUGGCACCUCGAUGUCGGCUCAUCACAUCCUGGGGCUGAAGUAGGUCCCAAGGGUAUGGCUGUUCGCCAUUUAAAGUGGUACGCGAGCUGGGUUUAGAACGUCGUGAGACAGUUCGGUCCCUAUCUGCCGUGGGCGCUGGAGAACUGAGGGGGGCUGCUCCUAGUACGAGAGGACCGGAGUGGACGCAUCACUGGUGUUCGGGUUGUCAUGCCAAUGGCACUGCCCGGUAGCUAAAUGCGGAAGAGAUAAGUGCUGAAAGCAUCUAAGCACGAAACUUGCCCCGAGAUGAGUUCUCCCUGAGACUUAGAGUCUCCUGAAGGAACGUUGAAGACGACGACGUUGAUAGGCCGGGUGUGUAAGCGCAGCGAUGCGUUGAGCUAACCGGUACUAAUGAACCGUGAGGCUUAACCUU